UUUGCUGUUUUUUUUCUCAAGGGGUAAUCUUACGCAAAUCAUAAUAUUGCGGUCUGUUGGGAAGAUUGUUUAUGCUUGAUCAAGUUGAUUUAAUAAAUUCCAAAAAUUUAUUUUGCUCCGCUUUAAUAUUGUUUUUACGUUUUGAGGGGCUCUAUAAAUCGCUCUCCAAGGCUUUUUUUGGGUGCGCUCUAGGCACGCGCGCUCGAUCGAGCACCUUUCCGGGCAAGGCCUGUAUUAAUGCAAAAACAGAAAACGAAAGUCAAACUGGUUGCAGCUUUCAUUGCUUUUUAAACAACACUGAAAAAAAUGAUCAAGUAGUCUCAAUUCUGGAUCUAUUGACAACACAAAAACAGAGGAAAAAAUUUUAGCAUUCAAAGCCUUUCUGUUGCACAUUAUGUUUUAACCUUUUUAAUCAUUAUAAUAAUUUAUGUUCCUGAUCUUUGUGCUAUUCUAUUAAUAUUUACGUUCUUUUCUCUUCAAAAAUGAUAAAUUCAUUAGGUAUUGAUCAUGCUUUUACAUCUCAAAACAAUCCUUUAUAUUAUUACUGUAAUGACAAAUCUCAUUAUAAGCUUUACAAACAUGGGGUUUAAGUGUUUAAAGGCAACCUUCGCUACCAUGUUAUUGUGAUGAAAGAAAAUGUGAUUCUAGAAUAAUGUGAAGACAGUCAAUAGAAGACUGGAUGUAGUCAAAAUAGAAGAGAAGAUCAAGAAAACUAGACUCCAAGAUUUGGCCAAAUUCUAAGAUGCUAACAGUUAAACAAGCAAGCCUUAAAGGAAAGAUUCAAAGGCAAUAGAAGAAUGCCUAAACAAAGUGUGACAUUGUGAGAAAAAGAAUGCAAAAUUUUUUAGGGGAUCAGGGAUUUACAAUGCAGACAAAAAUGGUGCCAAUGAGUUUGAACAGCUGACCCAUUCACAACAAGGGACAGCUGAAUUAGUUCAGGGCUUGUUUCUGUUAGAAGAUGUAUGGUAACCUAUGCAUAUUAAUUGAUUAAACUUGUAAUCAGGUUUAGGCCAUGAAAAUAAUAUCAAACUUACAGCUCCAGUUCCAUCUUUCUGUGAAGCUAUUCUCCCACUAAGAAGACUGUAAAGAGAAGAUACUUUCAGAAAUUGAAGAUGUCAAAGCACAAAAUCUCAGAAAACUUUCUAAAUAUUAUAUGAUUACAAAAGCAGAUUUGUUGAAUUUUGGGAGCAGCAAUAUAUAGUUUGACAAAGUAGGGUCACUAUCUUAUACUUUAAGUUGGAAAAUGAUCUUGAUAAAAAGAAAUGAUAUGCCUAUUACAACAGGUUUAAAGUAUUUUGUGAUCACUUUUCCUGUUUCCAGGAUGCAAUACAACAAAGAACGCUAAUUAAUUAUUGUUCACAUUGGCAAAUGGGUUGCAGCAAUCUGCAAAUCAGUAUCUCAAGAUUUUCUGGAACUUAAUUAAGGUCCAAUCAAGCUUUGAUUGUUUUAGAAAGACUGCCUUAUAAACUAAAGAAAAAAUAAUGAAAGUUUGCAAAAAUUUUCUACUUAUACAUACCAGGUGAAAAAUGAGUCUGGUAUCCAUGUCAAAGUUUGUCUUGAUGUUGAAAAUCUGAAUAAAAAAGUGAAAACCUCCAUUUCAACUUAUAAACAUAACUGACAUGCAAAUUAACUAAAAGGAGAUCUGUAAAUAAACACUACUUAAGUCCAUAGAAAAUACUUUUAAGCAACGAAAAUUAAGCAAAAUGAACCAGUCAAACAUUUAUACUUAUGACUUUCUCUGCUUUCAAAAAUUUCAAGAUAUAUCAUAGUGUAAUCCCUUAUAUUUCUGCUAUUUGGUGCCAAAAUUUUACCAUAUAUGAGGCACUCCUUGUCAAUUGUUCAGUUGGUUGCCAAUGCUAGAGGUGCAUAUGAUCCAUGGUCAAUUUAUAUGAUCCUUUGAUAUAUGCCCAUUUACUAAGCUUAAGCAAAUUUAUGGACCAUCGUUAACUCAUGUAGUGUCACUUUAUCGGCUAUAUCAAAGGAUUGUAUCUCUUUAGAUUGUAUCUGCAUUGCUUCAUGGAUGACACCUAAUUUGUUACCUUUGUAGGAACUGCAGACUCACAUACAUACUUCAUAAUGGUUUUUAACAUCACCAAUCUUUGUCUUUUAUAGCUAGACACAGCAAUGUCUCUUCGAUUUUGUUUACUUCUUGGUUUUCACAAUAUAAUAAGUUGGAAAAAGGUUUUCUUUAUUCCAAAUACAACAGGAUUAUGACAAUUCAGCUUGUACUCCUGCUUGUUGAAAUGAUUAUUUGUUUUUGCUUUAAAUUUUAUCAAAAGACAAAUCUCAGAUUUUUGGAAUAGUUCAUUAAAUUCCAUUUUUGAUUUGACCAAUCUAAAUUACGAAAUGUAGAAUUUUUUUGUUUUCAGAUGAUUUAUGAUAGCCUAAACAACCUUAAACUUUGUCAUUGACAAUUUUUAGCAAUACGUCCUAACACGAAAAAUCAACUUUUUCAAUUUUUGUCAGAAAUGCAGAAUUUUUAAUAGUAUGAUAAUUUUUCUGCAUUUGGGACAGUAAUAAAAAUUAUUUGUUUCUAUAAUCCAUUCAGAUGAUUGAGGAACUUUAUAUCUUAUGAGCGUUAUCCUAUAAUUUAAACAAUAUUUCAACUUGCCUUUUCCCUCCAACAUUCAAAUCAAUGAUCUCAUUUCCAGUAUUCUCAUGAUCCAUAAUAAAUUCUGUGGAAAUCCAGCAAAAAUUUCCUGUCAGUACAUCAAUGACUCAGUCGGAAGAAUGAAAAUCUAAAAUUUAACCAAAGUACUAAAUUCAGAUACUACUUUUUAGGUUAUAAGGCUAUGAAGACAUUCAGAGAUUUCGAGAAAUUGAAAAGUUGUUUUUUCAUUCCCACCUACCUUCC